ACGGGAGGCAGCAGUGAGGAAUAUUGGUCAAUGGACGGAAGUCUGAACCAGCCAUGCCGCGUGAAGGAAUAAGGCCCUAUGGGUCGUAAACUUCUUUUGUGGUGGAGCAAUAAGGUGCACGUGUGCAUCGAUGAGAGUACAUCACGAAUAAGCAUCGGCUAACUCCGUGCCAGCAGCCGCGGUAAUACGGAGGAUGCGAGCGUUAUCCGGAUUUAUUGGGUUUAAAGGGUGCGUAGGCGGGAUGUUAAGUCAGCGGUUAAAUAGUGUAGCUCAACUAUACUUUGCCGUUGAAACUGGCGUUCUUGAGUGUAAACGAGGUAGGCGGAAUGUGACGUGUAGCGGUGAAAUGCUUAGAUAUGUCACAGAACCCCGAUUGCGAAGGCAGCUUACCAGGAUACAACUGACGCUGAGGCACGAAAGCGUGGGUAUCAAACAGGAUUAGAUACCCUGGUA
rnacentral:rRNA from 1 species